rnacentral:rRNA from 1 species
UACGUAGGUGGCAAGCGUUGUCCGGAUUUACUGGGUGUAAAGGGUGCGUAGGCGGGCUUUUAAGUCAGCGGUAAAAAUUCGGGGCUCAACCCCGUCCGGCCGUUGAAACUGGGGGUCUUGAGUGGGCGAGAAGAAGGCGGAAUGCGUGGUGUAGCGGUGAAAUGCAUAGAUAUCACGCAGAACCCCGAUUGCGAAGGCAGCCUUCCGGCGCCCUACUGACGCUGAGGCACGAAAGUGCGGGGAUCGAACAGG